rnacentral:tRNA from 1 species
UCCCUGGUGGCUCAGAUGGUAAAGUGUCUGUCUACAACGCAGGAGACCCGGGUUCGAUCCCUGGGUCGGGAA